GAGUUUGAUCCUGGCUCAGAUUGAACGCUGGCGGCAGGCCUAACACAUGCAAGUCGAGCGGAUGAAGGGAGCUUGCUCCUGGAUUCAGCGGCGGACGGGUGAGUAAUGCCUAGGAAUCUGCCUGGUAGUGGGGAUAACGUCCGGAAACGGGCGCUAAUACCGCAUACGUCCUGAGGGAGAAAGUGGGGGAUCUUCGGACCUCACGCUAUCAGACGAGCCUAGGUCAGAUUAGCUAGUUGGUGGGGUAAAGGCCUACCAAGGCGACGAUCCGUAACUGGUCUGAGAGGAUGAUCAGUCACACUGGAACUGAGACACGGUCCAGACUCCUACGGGAGGCAGCAGUGGGGAAUAUUGGACAAUGGGCGAAAGCCUGAUCCAGCCAUGCCGCGUGUGUGAAGAAGGUCUUCGGAUUGUAAAGCACUUUAAGUUGGGAGGAAGGGCAGUAAGUUAAUACCUUGCUGUUUUGACGUUACCAACAGAAUAAGCACCGGCUAACUUCGUGCCAGCCGCCGCCGUAAU
rnacentral:rRNA from 1 species